rnacentral:lncRNA from 1 species
CUAUGGGACAUGGAGGACUCUUUAUUUGCAGUGAAUCAAUAAUGGUUAAGAGUCCUAGGCUUCAGAGAAGCAUUAACAAAAAAUUGCUAUUGGAGAUAAAGAAAAUGCAUGCUCUGUUUGAUCCAGUGAUCCCUGCAUGAUGGUUGAAACAACUGAAUUGGCAACUUCACUGCUGCCGUGUUCAUACAUUCCUGGACAGGCAAAAUUUGCAAAUUCCACAUCUCAAGGCUUCACCUGCUCCCUGGGUGCGAGCAUUUUUUGAUAGCUGAUUUUGAAUAGACUUUGACUAAUGACAACCUUAUCAAGCCAAGGUGGUCAGGAGAUAUCCACUUGUGUAAUCUGCCAAGUUGGUGUAUAGAUAACCAUCAGUUGUUCAUCAAAUGCUUGUAUCAGGCCCAUUUGGGAGCAUCAGUCUUUUUGGUUUCAAUGCCAGUUGGCAUCUCUUCCAACAGCAUAGUGUAAAUGGAGGCAGGGCCAUCUGCUGCCCUGAAAUAGGAUUUGCUAUUAGUUACCUUCAGGAGUCCUGGGCUUUGCUGUUAGCCGCCUUCAGUACUUUUAAUCCUCUUGGAUUGAUGCAGCCUCCAACUGAUGCUGCCACAGAUAAGGAUCCUCUCCACCUUGCCUGCAGUAGGCCAUGCCACCCACCAGCCCUCAGCAUCGAGCUCCCUUCAAUUUCCUACCAAAAGUAAGGAACUCUGGUCCUUGCUAGGCUUGUGGGGGGUUUCCAUCUUUAUAGUAAACCCGGGCCCUCUCAGUUUGUUGAUUCAUGUGAGACGAGUCUCUAUCUAUCUAUCUAUCUAUCUAUCUAUCUCGCUCUCACACACACACAUGCACCACACAUGCGCACGGAGUGUAGGAUCAUCCCUAUUAAAUAUAAGAAAAAUGCUUGUUAUUCACCAGAUAAGCACCGAAGACAGCAACACUUGAAACCAAAACCUUCAGCAAGAAUUUUCUGCCGAGCCUCACNNN